GUGCACCAGGCGCGAAACUUUACAAUGUGCGAAAGCACGAUAAGGGAACUCUGAGUGCCUCCUAAGGAGGCUGUUCAGGUGUCUAAAAGCACCUGAAGGAAGGGCUGGGUAAGACCGGUGCCAGCCGCCGCGGUAACACCGGCAGCCCAAGUGGUAGCCACGUUUAUUGGGUCUAAAGCGUCCGUAGCCGGCUGGGUAAGUUCCUUGGGAAAUUUGGCUGCUUAACAGUCAAGCUUUCAGGGAAUACUGCCCGGCUUGGGACCGGGAGAGGUCAGAGGUACUCCAGGGGUAGGGGUGAAAUCCAUUAAUCCUUGGGGGACCACCGGUAGCGAAGGCGUCUGACCAGACCGGGUCCGACGGUGAGGGACGAAGGCUAGGGGGCGCGAACCGGAUUAGAUACCCGUGUAGU
rnacentral:rRNA from 1 species